rfam:Haemonchus contortus, ISE/inbred ISE, WGS project CAVP01000000 data, contig: Hcontortus_33897
GGCACGAACUUGAAGUAGAAUAGUGGGGUACGAUCGGCUGAUCCUACCAAUCUUCUCUACUUCAAGUUUGUGCCC